rnacentral:snoRNA from 1 species
UUGCAGCUAAUUAAGCCAAUGGUGCUGCUUUCAUCUUGAGCACCUGAUGUGCAAUGGCUGCAAACAGCAGCCUCCUCGGUAGUGUGUGCGGCCUGUUGUUUGUAUGGAUUGUCCUAAGCGAUCUUAAAGACAACC